UAGGCCUGGCUAAACGCGCGUCGGCGCGCGCAUACCACCUGCACAUGCAGACUGCUGGUUUCGGUGAAGCGAAACACCUAAACACUGCACUGGGAACGGCAAAUAGCACUCACGUCGAGCGGUUCACUUGGAAUAUUUGUAACGCAUUUGGGACUACAUGUGUCGGGCUCCUUUGAUGCAUUCGCCCUGUGCUCCAUAGACGUCAUCGCAGAUCAGCAAUGAUUGGACAAUAACAAGCGGUGUUCGGGGUGACUGAGUGACUGACUGUUGGACAACUAACGCCGUAGCUCAACUGGUAGAACAUCACAAGCGUCAUGGCGGAGAAUACUGAUUCAGAUCCAACCGACGGUGGGAAUUGUACCUGGCCCACGGAGUGCGAAACGAGCACACUUCCCCGACACCAUGGCGACUUCACGAUUCUAUUUGACAAAGGUGUGCCCAGUGCGUGCGUCAUUGCACACGUCACAUCGAAAGGCGUGGCGUAGUGUGGGCGUCAUUUGGCACGUGACGGCGCAACCAAUGGGAGCGAGGUGGCGCCACGUCAU